CCCUUAGAUGUUCUGGGCCGCACGCGCGCUGCACUGAUGCAUUCAACAAGCCUAGCCUUGACCGAGAGGUCCGGGUAAUCUUUGAAACUGCAUCGUGAUGGGGCUAGAUUAUUGCAAUUAUUAAUCUUCAACGAGGAAUGCCUAGUAAGCGUGAUUCAUCAAAUCGCGUUGAUUACGUCCCUGCCCUUUGUACACACCGCCCGUCGCUCCUACCGAUUGAAUGUGUUGGUGAGGAGCUCGGAUUGGCAGCAGUUGGUGGUUCGCCACCGGCUAUUGCUGAGAAGUCCUCCAAACCGCCCCAUUUAGAGGAAGGAGAAGUCGUAACA
rnacentral:rRNA from 1 species